CUGUCUUGCCCCUAUUUUUUCAUUUCAUGUUUUUGUAGUCCUAGUUCUUCGUUCGACCUCUCUCUCUCUCUCUUGAACGGCAAUGAACGACGAUCGACGAUCGGCGACAGUGGCAGUGAGCGACGAUCGACAAUCGGCGACAGUGUCGUUGAGCAGUGAUCGAAGCCUAAAUUCGAAGUGCCAGUCUCUGACUCUGAAUUUCCACGAUUCUUUAGUUAUUGGGCAUAGGGCGCACAACUAAAUUAUUGAAUCCAUGGGGCCUUCUUGAGGAGAGGUGAUUGCAGAAUGUGGGUCCGAGGUAAAUUUUAUAUACACUUGCUAUUUAAUUAGAUUUACAGGUUUUUGAUUUCUGGGGUUUGGUGGAUUUCUAUAUUUUAUAUACAGUUUGACUGGGAGUAAGAAUGAUUUAUUUUACAUAUUUAUGUGUGAGGUGUUGGUUAGAAUUUUUUUAGUUCUGUAAUGGAGUUGAAAACAGGGAAUUAAACUUUCUAUAUUUUUUUUAUGCAAGUGUUUUUUGUAUUACAGAUGAUGAGUGUAAUGGAGUUGAAAACAAGGGACUAAACUUCCUAUAUUUUCUUUAUGCAAGUGUUUUUUAUAUUA